rnacentral:rRNA from 1 species
GAUGAACGCUGGCGGCGUGCCUAAUACAUGCAAGUCGAACGAGGGGCUUUUGUAGCAAUACGGGAGCUUCCUAGUGGCGAACGGGUGAGUAACGCGUUGGUGACCUGCCCCGAAGUGUGGGAUAACAGUCCGAAAGGAUUGCUAAUACCUCAUGUGGUCACGAGGGUUAGAGGCCUUGUGACGAAAGCAGUAAUGCGCUUUGGGAGGGACCUGCGUCCCAUCAGCUAGUUGGUAGGGUAACGGCCUACCAAGGCUAUGACGGGUAGGGGACCUGAGAGGGUGGCCCCCCACAAUGGAACUGAAACACGGUCCAUACACCUACGGGUGGCUG